rnacentral:rRNA from 1 species
ACGAACGCUGGCGGCGUGCUUAACACAUGCAAGUCGAACGGAAAGGCCCUGCUUGCAGGGUACUCGAGUGGCGAACGGGUGAGUAACACGUGGGUGAUCUGACCUGCACUUCGGGAUAAGCUUGGGAAACUGGGUCUAAUACCGGAUAGGAGCCAUCUUUAGUGUGGUGGUUGGAAAGUUUUUUCGGUGUAGGAUGAGCUCGCGGCCUAUCAGCUUGUUGGUGGGGUAAUGGCCUACCAAGGCGGCGACGGGUAGCCGGCCUGAGAGGGUGUACGGCCACAUUGGGACUGAGAUACGGCCCAGACUCCUACGGGAGGCAGCAGUGGGGAAUAUUGCACAAUGGGCGCAAGCCUGAGGCAGCGACGCCGCGUGGGGGAUGAAGGCCUUCGGGUUGUAAACUCCUUUCGCUAGGGACGAAGCUUUUUUGUGACGGUACCUAGAUAAGAAGCACCGGCUAACUACGUG